GAUGAACGCUGGCGGCGUGCCUAAUACAUGCAAGUCGAGCGAAUGGAUUAAGAGCUUGCUCUUAUGAAGUUAGCGGCGGACGGGUGAGUAACACGUGGGUAACCUGCCCAUAAGACUGGGAUAACUCCGGGAAACCGGGGCUAAUACCGGAUAACAUUUUGAACCGCAUGGUUCGGAAUUGAAAGGCGGCUUCGGCUGUCACUUAUGGCUGGACCCGCGUCGCAUUAGCUAGUUGGUGAGGUAACGGCUCACCAAGGCAACGAUGCGUAGCCGACCUGAGAGGGUGAUCGGCCACACUGGGACUGAGACACGGCCCAGACUCCUACGGGAGGCAGCAGUAGGGAAUCUUCCGCAAUGGACGAAAGUCUGACGGAGCAACGCCGCGUGAGUGAUGAAGGCUUUCGGGUCGUAAAACUCUGUUGUUAGGGAAGAACAAGUGCUAGUUGAAUAAGCUGGCACCUUGACGGUACCUAACCAGAAAGCCACGGCUAACUACGUGCCAGCCGCCGCCGGAC
rnacentral:rRNA from 1 species